rnacentral:lncRNA from 1 species
AGACUGUCAUGGUGGGGAGGGCAGGGUAGGAGCAGGGUCAGGAGGCAGCUGGUCACAAGCACCCACAGUCAGGAUACAGAGAGAUGGGGGCUGGGCUCAGCUCUCUUUCUCCUUUUCAUUCAGUCCGUGGCUCCGGCCCUUGGCACGGUGCUGCCUACAUUCAGGGAGGAUUUUGUUUGCUAAGUUAAAUCUCUCUGGAGCUGUGUCUCCUCUGUGAUUCUGAAUCCAGCCAUGUUGACAAUGAAGAUGAACAUCCCACACUCCAUCUUGGACGUUUCCUGGAAAGACAUCAAUGCCCGGCCCGACAUGUGCGUUUUUUGAACAUCACUUUUCCGUCUUUCCUGCUGUCGGUACUCGGGUUAGCUUGGCUGCCAUGCUGACCCUUUGAUCAGAGCCUGCCACUCCUGCUCCCGGCUAGCUGCUUCAAACCCUGAGGCAGAGUUUCCGUGUUACCACCUAGAAGCUGCUGCAGCUUCACCUCAUGGGUGAAGGGUCCGACUCCUCUUCCUCCUGGACGCCCUCCAAGCUGCCUGGGUCAUGAUGAGCUCCCUGAACCUCUGGGGUGACUCCUGCUGCUGCAGCUAAUUGUGUUUGGUUCUGUCCUCCAGUAGAGCUGAGCAGAAGCAAGGAAAUCAAAUCAAAUCAAGAUGACAUUUAUUUAAUGUGGGCUAACCGUCAGGCGCCCCACUGGGGGCGUUGGCACCUCACUCUAAUUUGCUUCUCACCGAGCAGCCCCGCAAAUGGAAUAACCGGACUCACACUUUUUUGUGCACAUAAAGAAACCAAAACAAGACAGACAGCAUCCCAAGAACAAUGUCACACACAAAGAGGAAGGAACAGGCUGUUGGAGUGUUUUCUGGAAGAGGUGGGCUCCCACCCAGCACCAGCCGUGCCAACUGGGCAGGUUCUGAGGGGAACCUGAAGGCCAACAUGGAGGAAGAAUCAUGGAGUCCUGCUCUUCUGAGGAGCCCAGCUUCGCAGACUUGAACAGCAGCAGCCUCUUCAUUAACAAUUCCACCUGGGCAGAGAUGAUGGCUCGAGAAGGCCCCCACGCCAGGUUCCCUCUGUGCCCAAGCUCUCUGCAUCUAUGGACGCCACCUGAACAUUAAGGCCCCUGUGGGACCACCAGCCCGGAAGACCUCACUGGUUGGCAGCUGUCUCACACCUGCUAGGAGGUGGCAGCUUGGCUGUGCCACGUGUGCACAGGAUAACUAGGGUCUUUGCUGGGCACAGGGCCUCUGCAGGCUUCACCUGCCCCUCCCAACCCCGUGAGCUCAGGUUUUCACUCUUUUUGAAAAAUAAAAGUGCACUUAUUUUUAUUUUACA